AAGUCGUAACAAGGUUUCCGUAGGUGAACCUGCGGAAGGAUCAUUAACACGUAUCCAAACGUUAAACCCCCCUGUGAACCUUCACCUGUACUCGUACGUCCGUUAGAAAAAGCAGCAAUCCCUGGUAAAUCAUCGCCGAACAGUUUUCGAUUCCUGUGUAAGGAUGACGCAGUCACGAUCGUUGGAGGCCCACACGGCCGACGACCGGGUCGCUGGGCGCAAGCCCCCCUAUAACAAACCCCCUGCCAAUCGCGGCCGCGAUAAUACGCAGUCGACCAAAAACCGAACAACUGUUAACAAUGGAUAUCUUGGUUCUC
rnacentral:misc_RNA from 1 species